GACGAACGCUGGCGGCGUGCUUAACACAUGCAAGUCGAACGGAAAGGCCCUGCUUUUGUGGGGUGCUCGAGUGGCGAACGGGUGAGUAACACGUGAGUAACCUGCCCUUGACUUUGGGAUAACUUCAGGAAACUGGGGCUAAUACCGGAUAGGAGCUCCUGCUGCAUGGUGGGGGUUGGAAAGUUUCGGCGGUUGGGGAUGGACUCGCGGCUUAUCAGCUUGUUGGUGGGGUAGUGGCUUACCAAGGCUUUGACGGGUAGCCGGCCUGAGAGGGUGACCGGCCACAUUGGGACUGAGAUACGGCCCAGACUGCUACGGGAGGCAGCAGUGGGGAAUAUUGCACAAUGAGCGGAAGCCUGAUGCAGCAACGCCGCGUGCGGGAUGACGGCCUUCGGGUUGUAAACCGCUUUCGCCUGUGACGAAGCGUGAGUGACGGUAAUGGGUAAAGAAGCACCGGCUAACUACGUG
rnacentral:rRNA from 1 species